rnacentral:rRNA from 1 species
UGAGUGACCUGCCGAUUUGUGGGGGAUAGCCGGGCCAACGCCCGGGUAAUACCGCAUACGCUCUUCUUGGGGCAUCUCUAGAAGAGGAAACCUCCGGGGCAAAUCGAGGGACUCGCGGCCUAUCAGCUAGUUGGCGAGGUAACGGCUCACCAAGGCUACGACGGGUAGCUGGUCUGAGAGGAUGGCCAGCCACAGUUGGGACUGAGAUACGGCCCAGACUCCGUACGGGAGCAG